UGAGUUGUCUUUCCACCAGCGAGAAUCAGCUCGAGACAACAGCGCCAUCAUCAUAUUAUCACUGCCCAAUGGAGAUGGAGCUACACUUGCUCCGGUCCCCUGUUUCGACCCCAAGUCUAUACCCAAAGCCAAACCCACCAAUUCAGUGUGUUCGUUCAUCCAAACGGAGCUCCGGCCCAACUACCCAGAAGGAGCUUUCUCGGAUUCUGAGAACGGAGGCUGCUGUUAAAAACAUUGAGAGGAAAUCAAACUCCCAGAAAAAGUACAACAACCUCUGGCCUAAGCCUGUCUUGGAGGCCCUUGAUCACGCCAUUGCAAACAAUCACUGGCAGACUGCUCUUAAGAUAUUUGGACUACUGCGUAAGCAACAUUGGUAUGAGCCAAGAUGCCAGACUUACGCUAAAUUGUUCAUGAUGCUUGGAACAUGCAAGCAACCUGAGGAGGCUGGCUUACUUUUCGAGCUCAUGUUGACUGAUGGGCUCAAACCAACUGUUGAUGUCUACACAGCUCUUGUUAGUGUUUAUGGGAAAAGUGGCCUCUUUGACAAGACAUUUUCUACUGUUGAUGACAUGAAGUCAACUUCUGACUGCAUACCAGAUGUAUAUACAUACUCAAUUCUUAUAAGUUGCUGCACAAGAUUUCGUCGUUAUGAUCUGAUUGAACAAGUAUUGGCUGAGAUGUCAUAUCUGGGAAUCGGGUGUAACACGGUCAUAUACAAUACUCUUAUCGAUGGAUAUGGUAAAUAUGAAAUGUUUGAACUGAUGGAGGAGUCAUUGACAGAUAUGGUUGAAAGUGGCAGCUGUAUUCCUGAUGUUUUCACAUUGAAUUCUUUUCUUGGUGCUUAUGGGAGAAGUGGGCAGAUAGACAAGAUGGAGAAGUGGUACGAUGAAUUUCAGCUAAUGGGAAUAAAGCCAGACCUCAAGACAUUUAACAUCCUGAUAAAAUCUUAUGGGAAAGCAAGAAUGUUUGAAAAGAUGGGAUCUGUUAUGGAGUUUAUGAAGAGAAGGUAUUUUACCCCAACUAUUGUUACUUAUAACAUUGUAAUCGAGGUAUUUGGGAAAGCUGGAAAUAUUGUGAAGAUGGAGGAAUAUUUCAGAAAGAUGAAGCAACAAGGAAUGAAGCCGAACUCUGUCACUUAUUGUUCCCUUGUUAGUGCGUACAGCAAAACUGGGAAUAUCAAUCAAGUUGAUUCCAUUUUGAGGCAAGUAGAGAAUUCAGAUGUUAUACUAGAUACUGCGUUUUUCAACUGUAUUAUUAGUGCUUAUGGUCGGGCUGGUGAUAUAAAUAAGAUGGGUGAAUUAUUUUUGACCAUGGAAGAGAAAAAAUGUGCUCCUGAUCAUAUAACCUUUGCUACCAUGAUCCAAGCCUGCAAUGCAUUAGGCAUGACAGCAGCCGCCGAAAAUUUGAAAAACAGGAAGAUUACCACCCUGGACAAUUCAGGCUCAAGAUUAAUUCGACGCUAGUAUGUUCAUAUUGUUGAAGAACUUUCCUCAAAUCAGGAAACACAAACUUCCACAAUGACGAAACCUUGCACAAAAUUUUGAUAGGUUGUGACUGUCCACCUUUAUAUAUAGCAGCUGAUGAGCUUAGACUGGUCACUGGGAGUAAGGCUAAGGUUUUGGGCGGAAAUGUAGCCUACUGCUCUAGUAAAUGUUAAGAAAUCGAGUGAAUCAGAUUCUGAGGUGGUGAUGCUGGACAAUAUUCGGUCAUUCCGGGACCUCCCGGCUGUAAUGGCUUCUCUUUGUUGAUUCAGUGACUUCAAACUCAGUUGUUUUUCAAUUCAAGACAGCGGCAAAGUGUGCUGAAACAUCCUUUGUCAUAGUGAGAAAGAAGGAGAUCGAGCAGACUAAAGCAGAAGCAGAAGACGAAACCCCAGAGCUGACCCUAGGAGAAGAGACGUCUAAUAAGCGGCGGUAAAUCUUAGAGACUGUAAAGCUAUCCAAUAUUAUUUAAUUCGGGCUCAAUUCAUAACUGGUUUAUACUUUCUACA